CAGAGAGAAGCGAGGCGAGGCGGUCUGACGAGUGUGUGUGUGAGUUAAAGCAGUGUUUCUUAACUGGUCGCGGACAGCAGGGAAAUAGCAAUGCCAUGGUAACUUCUCCCAUUGAAGAUAUUUCGGCGGCCGCCCAAAAUGUUUGCGCUGCAGUUCCAAAAAUGGAAAGAGCACCAUAAAUGUAUCUACGUUCGUGGGCAAUGGAGGAGUCGGUAGACAACGAAGCAGGUUCAAGGAAUGUGAGCAAAGCUGCAAAUGUUUACAGCCAGCAUCUGUUCCCCAAUCCUUGUUUUGUCUGGUGGGCAAACACACAAAUAAUUUAGAGUCACACAUUAUAAGAUCAACAAAUAGACUGACUUCCAGCUUCAAGUUCCUCUGUGUCCACAUAACUGUGGAACUCACAUGGUCCGUCCACACUGAGGCCGUUGUGAAGAAGGCUCACCAGCGCCUCUUCUUCCUGAGACGGCUAAGGAAUUUGGAAUGAACCACCACAUCC